UACGGAGGGGGCUAGCGUUGUUCGGAAUUACUGGGCGUAAAGCGCGCGUAGGCGGAUCUGCAAGUCGGGGGUGAAAUCCCGAGGCUCAACCUCGGAACUGCUUUCGAUACUGCGGGUCUCGAGUCCGGGAGAGGUGAGUGGAAUUCCUAGUGUAGAGGUGAAAUUCGUAGAUAUUAGGAAGAACACCAGUGGCGAAGGCGGCUCACUGGCCCGGUACUGACGCUGAGGCGCGAAAGCGUGGGGAGCAACAGG
rnacentral:rRNA from 1 species